AUACGGAGGAUGCAAGCGUUAUCCGGAUUUAUUGGGUUUAAAGGGUGCGUAGGCGGAUGAUUAAGCGUGAGGUGAAAUGCCACUGCUCAACAGUGGAACUGCCUCGCGAACUGGUUGUCUUGAAUGCUCCUGCCGUGGGAGGAAUGUGUGGUGUAGCGGUGAAAUGCAUAGAGAUCACACAGAACACCGAUUGCGAAGGCAUCUCACGAAGGGGUGAUUGACGCUGAGGCACGAAAGCGUGGGGAUCAAACAGGAUUAGAUACCCUGGUAGUCCACGCAGUAAACGAUGAUAACUAACCGCUGGGUCGUAGUGAUUCAGUGGCCAAGCGAAAGCGAUAAGUCAUCCACCUGGGGAGUACGACCGCAAGGUUGAAACUCAAAUGAAUUGACGGGG
rnacentral:rRNA from 1 species